CAAAAGACUUACUCUUAGACUAUAUAUUAUCAGAACACUAAGAACCAUGUGUUUAAUCUUGUUGUUACUUCUGUUUCAGUGUGUGGUGAUACUUUUAGCUCCUAAAAUUAUAUUGAUAAAAUUGUAAUGUAUUAUAUUUGCAGAUGUUACUUUAAGUGCAUUAAAUGCCCCAGAGAGUGACAUAGAUAUUGAGGGGGAUUCAUCAUCUUCAAAGAAGUUAGAAUUUGAUUCAGGUAAUAUAUAUAUCAAUGAAAGAGUGAUAAUGUUAAUGUCAUGUAAUAUUUUAUAGAUAUAGAUAAUAAUAAUAUAUCUAUAUCUAUAAAAUAUUACACUGAUUAUUCUGUCCUCAUAUCUUGACUUACAUCUGCAUAUCAACAAUAAUGGUUGUUUGAGAACAAAAUUUGAACAAAAUAGAUGAUUCAACUUUCCAAUUCUAUGUAGCAACAUUCCAGCACUGCCUGCAUAUGGAGUAUAUAUCUGUCAGGUGGAAUGUAUUUCAAGGGCUUACGUUUCCUAUAAUGAUUUCUUUCAUAGAGGGAUGCUGCAGAAGCAAUUAAACCAUAUGUAUGAGUUCCAAAUUUUGAAAUUUAUACCACAAUUCCAUCCUCUUUUUCCCUGAAUGUGACCUACCAAUAAAAUAAAAAAGAAGAUGGGGUUUGAUUGCCAAUGAGACAACUCUUCACAAGCUCAUUGACACAGAAAUUAACAAAUAAAGUUCAAUGUUUGAUCUUCAUCAAUGAGCAAAGCCCAUAGUCAGCUAUAAAAGGUCCUGAAAUAACAAACGUAAAAAGAUUCAAACAAGAAAACUAAACAAUAAGCCUUAUCACCAGCCUUGUUCUUACUUACAUAACUUUUUUUCUCUAGCAUUUUUACAAUCAGCUAAUUGAUUUAUUAUUUUAGAUGUGGAUUCAAGUAUGUUGUGACAGAAAGCUGGAAUUUAAUUGACUGUUUUCUAAUACAUAGAAGUACACAGAACUGGGCCAUUGUGUUUGGUGUAGUUAAGUGCAAUUAAAGUUGGAUAAACAGAUACUGUCAUCUUGCUUGUUGAUAUUUACAUUGAAGAUGAAGCAUUUGGACUGAACUAUCUGAAAUCAUAUGUCUGCUUUGAUAUAUUUAUUUAUUCGUUCAACAGUUGCCAUCCAGAAAAGUUUUAGCAAUGCGAUAGUUACUUUUAGGACUUUCCAAACUUAUUACAAAAAUGACAAUCUUUUAAUUGCUGUCAAAUUUGUUAACCUCAUCUUCAAUGAUUCUUAUGUUGUUCAUCUUUUCAUUCAUUUGUCAGGCUUGUUUCCAGAUAAUCGUUAUUUACACAAAUUAAUUCUAAAAUUACAUGUAAACUUUUUUUAUUUAUCAUGAUUUUUUAACUUCUGGUUGAUACUAAAAGUACUGAUUGACAAACUACUAAGAGAAUUUUUGUCAAUUUUUACUUGUAUAAAUGUUGUUUUUAAUAUUUUUUUAGAGGAUACCUUUGUUAGUUUGUUAGAGAAUUUGUCAUCAUGUGUGAAAUUAAAAAAGUAAAUAAAACAUUUGUAUAUAUACAUGUAUAUAGUAUCAUGAAUAAAGGCA
rnacentral:lncRNA from 1 species